rnacentral:tRNA from 1 species
GGGGUGAUAGCUCAGAGGUAGAGCGCUCGCCUAGCACGUGUGAGACAAUGGGUUCGAUCCUCAGCACUACA